GGGGUCGUAGUUCAGUUGGUUAGAACGCCGGCCUGUCACGCCGGAGGUCGCGAGUUCGAAUCUCGUCGGCCCCGCCA
rnacentral:tRNA from 1 species